UACGAAGGGGGCUAGCGUUGUUCGGAAUUACUGGGCGUAAAGCGCGCGCAGGCGGUUCUUCAAGUCAGUGGUGAAAGCCCGGAGCUCAACUCCGGAAUUGCCAUUGAAACUGUAGAACUUGAGGAUGGAGAGAGGUGAGUGGAAUUCCCAGUGUAGAGGUGAAAUUCGUAGAUAUUGGGAAGAACACCGGUGGCGAAGGCGGCUCACUGGCUCAUUUCUGACGCUCAGGCGCGACAGCGUGGGGAUCAAACAGG
rnacentral:rRNA from 1 species